rnacentral:pre_miRNA from 1 species
GUGGGGUAUGGGCAGUGCUCCAGGAGCAGAGCCUGGGCAGCUCUGUGUGUUGAGAAGGAAGGCAGUGUCCCUGCUCUUCAGGCCUGGCCUCAU